AGGCAGGUAGCCUAGUGGUUAGAGGCAGGUAGCCUAGUGGUUAGAGGCAGGUAGCCUAGUGGUUAGAGACAGGUAGCCUAGUGGUUAGAGUCAGGUAGCCUAGUGGUUAGAGGCAGGUAGCCUAGUGGUUAGAGGCAGGUAGCCUAGUGGUUAGAGGCAGGUAGCCUAGUGGUUAGAGGCAGGUAGCCUAGUGGUUAGAUGCAGGUAGCCUAGUGGUUAGAGGCAGGUAGCCUAGUGGUUAGAGGCAGGUAGCCUAGUGGUUAGAGGCAGGUAGCCUAGUGGUUAGAGGCAGGUAGCCUAGUGGUUAGAGGCAGGUAGCCUAGUGGUUAGAUGCAGGUAGCCUAGUGGUUAGAGGCAGGUAGCCUAGUGGUUAGAGGCAGGUAGCCUAGUGGUUAGAGGCAGGUAGCCUAGUGGUUAGAGGCAGGUAGCCUAGUGGUUAGAGGCAGGUAGCCUAGUGGUUAGAGGCAGGUGGCCUAGUGGUUAGAGGCAGGUAGCCUAGUGGUUAGAGGCAGGUGGCCUAGUGGUUAGAGGCAGGUGGCCUAGUGGUUAGAGGCAGGUGGCCUAGUGGUUAGAGGCAGGUGGCCUAGUGGUUAGAGGCAGGUGGCCUAGUGGUUAG